CCCAAAGCGUUUUUUUUUUUUUUUUUUUACCCCUGGUUUCUCGAGAUCACGAGAAAAUUAUCUUGUGAUCUCCAGAAAACGGGGGUAAAAAAAACAAACAUGUCUGCUUAGGG